rnacentral:tRNA from 1 species
GCCUGGGUGGCUCAGUCGGUUAAGCGUCUGACUUCAGCCAGGUCAAGAUCUCGCAGUCUGUGAGUUCGAGCCCCGCCUCAGGCU